UAAAGAGUUCUAUAACUCCCAAACCCAUGUGAACAUACCUAACGUUGCCUCGGCAGGUCGCACCUACCUUGUAGCACCCUACCCUGUAGGGCCUACCCGGGAGGUGCGGGUAAGCCUGCCGGCGGCCCACCAAACUCUGUUUGAUAUUGAAUUCUGAACCUAUAACUAAAUAAGUUAAAACUUUCAACAACGGAUCUCUUGGUUCUGGCAUCGAUGAAGAACGCAGCGAAAUGCGAUAAGUAAUGUGAAUUGCAGAAUUCAGUGAAUCAUCGAAUCUUUGAACGCAUAUUGCGCCCAUUAGUAUUCUAGUGGGCAGGACCGUUCGAGCGUCAUUUCAACCCUUAAGCCUUCGUUGCUUAGUGUUGGGAGCCUACGGCAACGUAGCUCCUCAAAGUUAGUGGCGGAGUUGGUUCACACUCUAGACGUAGUAAUUUUUUAUCUCGCCUAUUAGUUGGACUAAUCCCCUGCCGUAAAACCCCCAAUCUAUAUCAAGGUUGACCUCGAAUCGGUUCAGACAAACUCGCUAAAUUGAAGCAUCUUAGUCAGCGAAGGAAAAGAAACCAACAGGGAUUGCCCUAGUAACGGCGAGUGAAGCGGCAACAGCUCAAAU
rnacentral:rRNA from 1 species